rnacentral:rRNA from 1 species
AACGAACGCUGGCGGCGUGCUUAACACAUGCAAGUCGAACGCGAAAGGGACUUCGGUCCUGAGUAAAGUGGCGCACGGGUGAGUAACGCGUAGAUAACCUGUCUUCGUGUCUGGAAUAAUACGCCGAAAGGUGUACUAAUACCGGAUAUUCUUGCUUUAUAUAAGUUUUGCAAGCAAAGGUGGCCUCUGCAUAUGCUACCGCAUGAAGAGGGGUCUGCGUACCAUUAGCUAGUAGGUAGGGUAAUGGCCUGCCUAGGCGACGAUGGUUAGCGGGUCUGAGAGGAUGAUCCGCCACACUGGCACUGGAACACGGGCCAGACUCCUACGGGAGGCAGCAGUGAGGAAUGUUGCGCAAUGGGGGCAACCCUGACGCAGCGACGCCGCGUGAGUGAGGAAGGCCUUCGGGUCGUAAAGCUCUGUCGAGAGGAAAGAAGUGCAUGGUGGUUAAUACCCGCCAUGUUUGACGGUACCUCUAAAGGAAGCACCGGCUAACUCCGUGCCAGCAGCCGCCGCGGUAA